rnacentral:lncRNA from 1 species
CCAGAUUCAGCCAAUAUUCACUUGCCUCUUGCCCAUGAUCCUGCAACCAUCAUUCAAGCAUAAUAUCAAGCUUGUAACGGCAGACAAAUCUUCAACGUAAAUGCAGUAUAAAUGUCAAGACGUAAUCUUAGCUUACUUUCUAAAUUCAAACCUGCAAAGCUGUGUAUAUAUAUGUUAACAAUUGUAUUACUCAAGGUGUGGCGAAAUAUACAAUUCUGAAGUUUAUCAAAUAGCUCAACUCUCUGAAAUUUCUUAUCUUCAUCAUGGUAUCAGAGCAACAAAUCUCCAACGAGAAUUUGAUCCCUCACAAUCCUAUCUCAACCCCAUCCUCUCCAACUGAAACACCUCUGAUUGCCCUCAACAUCACAUCCCAGAUAAAUGAUAAACUUACCCCCUCUACAUUCCUUCAAUGGCGCGCUCAGUUUGAAGCCUUACUCAUCGGGUAUGAUCUCCUUGAUUAUGUCACUGGAGAAAAAAUCUGCCCUGUAUCCACCAGCACAGCAGUCUGCGCCAUCCAACGAACACACUGGAUAAGGCAAGAUAAGCUUAUCCUCAGUGCCAUUUUGGCAUCCACAUCCACUGUUAUUACUCCUCUCAUCUCCAUGGCCAAGACAUCAAAGGAUGCAUGGCAUAAAUUGCAUACUCUGUAUGCAAGCAAGUCCAGAACCAGAGCAAUGCAACUUAAGGAAGAACUCACAAUGAUAAAGAAGGGCAACCAGUCAAUUCAAACUUAUCUUCAUUCUGUAAAAUCGUUGGCAGACGAAAUCUCCCUCAUAGAUCACCCAAUCUCUGAAGAUGAUCUAACACUCUAUAUUCUAAAUGGCCUGGGAACUGACUUUCGUGAAAUUGCAGGCCCUAUUCGCGCCCGAGAACGACCACUCACUUUUGAGGAACUUCAUGAUCUCCUUGUAAGUCAUGAUGCAUAUCUUCGCCGUCUUGAUGCCUCCUCCCAUCUGAUUGCUUCUGCAAACUACACGCACCGACGGGCUUCGUAUAAUCAAGAAAAUCAGUCUUUUAAAUCUGCCCCAAACCCCACUUUUUUGACAGAUCAUAUGGGCUUCACUAUCGCCAGCCUGGCAAUCCGAGAGACACAACAAAAAUCAUGGACCACGUCGUUUUCCUCCAGCUCCAAAGUGCCAACUAUGUGACCGCAUGGGUCAUACUGCCAAACACUGCAGUCGGUUUCAGUAUACCACCCCAACAGCGAAUUGCACUUCCACCUCACCCGCACAGGAUACAAAAUGGCUUAUAGACUCAGCCGCGUCUCAUAAUAUUACUGGUGAUCUUGCUAAUCUAUCUAUUCAUUCCGAAUACGAUGGCACAGACGAAGUUAUCAUUGGUGAUGGUUCAGGUUUGCCUGUUUCUCACAUUGGCUCCUUACAUCUUCAUUCCCCCACACGUACCUUCCAUUUAAAUGACACCCUUUGUGUUCCUAAUCUACAAAAAAAAUCUCAUAUCUGCUCAUCAAUUUACUCGUCAAAAUCAUGUCUUUAUUGAGCUUCACCCCUCUUUCUUUUUUGUUAAGGACAAGAUCACGGGAGCGGCUCUAUUCCGAGGAGCGUGUGAGAAUGGUGUUUACAUCCUUCCGAAGUCAAUGGUGCAGCCUUCUCAUCCUAUUGUUGCUAAUGUGCAUGAAAGGGUCUCCAUGGACGGAUGGCACAAACGCCUUGGGCAUCCCUCUCCUAAAUUGGUCACUCACCUUAUCAAAUCAUUUUCCCUUCCAACAAUAAAUAAAAAAAAUAUUUCUCUUUGUUCCUCAUGUUCUAUUAAUAAAGCUCAUCGUCAACCAUUUCGUCAAAACAGUCUCUUGAGUCAUGCCCCUCUUGACUUACUUUAUACUGAUGUGUGGGGUCCCUCAAGUACAAUUGGCAUUACUGGGGCUCGUUACUAUCUCAUUUUUGUUGAUCAUUUCACAAAAUACAUUUGGUUUUAUCCUAUGGAGACUAAAUCCAGUGUCCGCAUCAUAUUUCCUCAAUUCAAAAAUCUUGUUGAAAAUCGGUUUCAGUUAAAAAUUAAAUCUGUCUAUUCUGAUAAUGGUGGUGAAUUUGUUGCCUUAAAACAAUAUUUUACAACAAAUGGAAUCAGUCAUUACACCACAGCUCCUCAUACACCGCAACAAAAUGGUGUUUCUGAGCGUCGUCAUCGUCACUUGGUUGAAACCGGUCUCACAUUACUACAUGAUGCAUCCCUUCCCCUUCAGUAUUGGCCCUAUGCUUUUUCCACUGCUGCAUAUCUUAUUAACCGUCAACCCACACCUCUCCUCCACCAUAAAUCUCCGUUUGAAACUUUGUUUACACAGCCUCCAAAUUAUAAAAAGCUAAAAAAAUUCGGUUGUCUUUGUUUUCCUCUUGUUCGGCCAUAUAACACAAACAAGUUACAACCAAAAUCAAUUCCAUGUAUUUUCGUAGGCUACUCCUUAACCCAAAAUGCAUACAGCUGCCUUGAUCCCAUAACCAACCGUCUCUACCAAUCACGCCAUGUCAUCUUUCAUGAAAAUGAAAAUGGUUUCUCCUCCAACCAUCCUUCCACACCCAGCCCGACAAGCGACUCCUCUGUUCAUGGUCCUCUUUCAUCUCCUCCUGCACCUCCACCAGUGACUUCGGCAAGGAUACCCACUCUCACUGCUUCCUCAGGUAAUGACUCCCCCACUGUAUCUUUUAAUUCACGUGCACUCAUACCUUUAUCUUCUUCUGCUUCUCCUAGUUUUCAGCUUGCCUCAUCUCCACUGCCAAAUCCCAGUCAUCCACCCUCAUCAGUUAUUUGUGCACCUUCUCCAAGCUCACCUCCCUCAUCACCCAAUCCUGCACCCACCCGGCCUCACUCCAUGGUCACCCGUUCCAUGAAUAACAUUUAUAAACCCAAACAACUUAACAUCACCACAAAACACCCCAUCCCAAAAACUGUAGAACCAACCUGUGUGGGACAGGCUCUUCGUGAGCCACACUGGAGAUCAGCAAUGUCUGAGGAACUCACAGCCCUCAUGAGGCAUGGCACAUGGGAGUUGGUACCGCCUCCUCCGGACUGCCAACCAGUUGGGUGCAAAUGGGUUUUUCGGAUCAAACGACAUCCUAAUGGCUCCAUUGCUCGGUUCAAAGCCCGUUUGGUUGCAAAGGGAUAUCAUCAGCGGCCUGGUCUAGACUACAAUGAAACGUUCAGUCCAGUUGUGAAACCUGCCACCAUCAGAACAGUUCUCACCGUGGCUGUCACACAGGGGUGGCCAUUACGGCAGCUAGAUGUAAACAAUGCCUUUUUGCAUGGGAACCUGCAGGAAACAGUCUACAUGUUACAGCCACCGGGGUUCCAUGAUACCUCCACUCCCCAUCAUGUCUGUCGGUUAAACAAGGCUAUUUAUGGCCUCAAACAGGCCCCUCGUGCCUGGUAUUCUGCUCUGCAACAAGCCAUUCUGAAACUGGGAUUCACCAGCUCCAAAGCCGAUCCUUCUCUAUUUAUCUUUCACAGUGCAGAUGUUUUGUGUUACUUGCUGGUCUACGUGGAUGAUCUCGUUCUCACUGGAAACACUCCAUCCUUCCUGACUCAUGUGAUUGAUCAACUUAGCAUCCAAUUCUCAUUGAAAGAUAUGGGUGCACUUCAUCAUUUUCUGGGGCUAGAUGUUAUACCCACCAAAAACGGGUUGUUCUUAUCUCAACAUCAAUACAUACGGAUCUUCUCUUCAAAACUAAUAUGCAGGGUGCUAAGGAUGUCUCUUCUCCUAUGUCCACUUCGGUCCAGCUCAAGCUUAUUGAUGGCACAGCUCCCUGUGACAGCACUGCAUUUCGAAGCAUCAUCGGUGGAUUACAAUAUUUGUCUCUUACUCGUCCUGAUGUUUCCUUCACUGUUAAUAAGCUGUCACAAUUCAUGCAUCAACCUACGGUCACUCACUGGUCAGCUGCCAAACGCCUGCUCCGCUAUUUGAAGAAAACCAUCUUCCUUGGCAUUCACAUAAAUCGUCAGUCUUCAUUUGAUAUCACCACUUUUGCUGAUGCUGAUUGGGCUGGGAAUUAUGAUGAUCGCACCUCCACCUCAGCUUACAUUACAUUCCUUGGGCUCAAUCCCAUCUCGUGGAGCUCAAAGAAACAACGUGCAGUCGCCAGGUCCUCCACAGAAGCUGAGUAUCGUUCCCUUGCCACUGCUACGUCUGAAACAGUUUGGCUGUUGUCCCUGUUCAAAGAACUGUGUCUCCCAAUUUCAUCUCCGCCAAGGCUGUUGUGUGACAACCUGGGAGCUACACACCUUAGCUUCAAUCCAGUUCAGCAUUCCCGGAUGAAACACAUUCAGAUAGACCUCCACUUUGUCCGUGAUAUGGUUCACAAGAAGAUCCUCAAUGUUCAGCAUGUCAAUACUCAUGACCAAUUGGCAGACUUUCUAACGAAGCCUCUGUCUUCCCAGCGUCUGCAUUCCUUACUGCUCAAGAUUGGCUUAGCUGAUGGCUCAUCCAUCUUGCGGGAGCGUAUAAAGGAAAUCCCCUCAGAUUCAGCCAAUAUUCAAAUUUCCCAGAUUCAGCCAAUAUUCACUUGCCUCUUGCCCAUGAUCCUGCAACCAUCAUUCAAGCAUAAUAUCAAGCUUGUAACGGCAGACAAAUCUUCAACGUAAAUGCAGUAUAAAUGUCAAGACGUAAUCUUAGCUUACUUUCUAAAUUCAAACCUGCAAAGCUGUGUAUAUAUAUGUUAACAAUUGUAUUACUCAAGGUGUGGCGAAAUAUACAAUUCUGAAGUUUAUCAAAUAGCUCAACUCUCUGAAAUUUCUUAUCUUCAU